rnacentral:tRNA from 1 species
GUUAUUUUGGCAGAGUAGUGCGAUAGAUUUAGGAUCUUUUAAUGUAAUAAUUUACAUUUAACA